AGGACAUCAUGAGGACGGUGACUGAUUUGGAUAGACUGGCGCACAAAUCACUUUCUUUAGGGUAGAUAAGUCUUUAGUUUAUUGUGUAGAGAUAUAGGGCGACAAGUGCGGGUAGUUGUUAGAGAAUAACUAGUACUGAGCGUGGCCAUAUGAGAGAUCACUUAGAUUUCUACUCGAUCGUCAAUGAUCAUCUCGAUGCUGUAGUUGUAUGACUGAUCUUUUGACCUGAGAUGACACUACUGCUUGCAGUGAAGCUGCUGAAGUUUGAUUGACAUAUAAGCAUGGGUCUCAAUGAGCUUUUAUAGUGGAUAUUGACGACAGUUGGUUCACUGUAGGAGCAGGAUGUGCAUCAAGAUGAGAUCUAUCGAC
rnacentral:lncRNA from 1 species